AUGCGGCGGUGCCGGGGCGCAGGGCUGGCAGGGCUGGCCGCGCUGCUGCUGGUGGCUGUGGGCAGAGCCCAGGUGCUGCAGGAGCCGUCAGCAGAGACCACCGAGGGCACCGAAAUCAACACCACUUGCUCUCACCCCAGUAUCCGAACCACGGAGUUCAUCCACUGGUACCGUCAGCUCCCGGGACGAGGCCCCGCUUUCCUCCUGAGCACUCUCAAAGACUCCAAAGAGCUGCGGGACCCGCCGGGGCGGCUGUGGGUGUCGGCAGAGCGCCGCUCCAGCGCCCUGUGGCUCGCCCGGCCCCGGCGCGGGGACGCGGCGGUGUAUUACUGCGGAAGUCCAGGAGACAGGAGAGAAGCCUGA